AAAGAUUUGUCACUGCCCAGCAAAGAGGGAUCUUAAUGAAGACGUUGGUCCUUGCAAGGCACAAAUCCAUUUGGAUCCGCUGGCUUAAAGGGAUGUGCAGCUGUGUGCAGGAAUGGGGGAUUUCCCCCUCUGAAGCAGCGUGGUGCUGCAGGACGUGGAGCGUUCACCUCAGUGCCAGGAGCUGCUGCUGCAGGGCAGCCUCACCCCUGUUUGUACGAAUGGACCUGCAGAUGAAUGAAAUCUCAUUUUCCUGCUGUGACACCACGACAGAGGUCAGAAAUCAACCCAGGUCUCCUGAGCCGCCGCCCCUGAGCACGAACCACAAAGAUUCUUUCGCCCUCUCCAUUUCUCAACUGCUGGUAAUUACACUUAGAAAAGCUCUGGAAGCCAAAACAAACAAGGGAGAGGUUUCCAGUGAGCUUUCAGUUUGUUACGAGUCCUUCCAAGAGGGUUUUGUGCACGAGGCAAUGCAGAAAGUUCUCACAUUGCUGAGCCUUCUCCUCGUGUCUCUGUGCCAGGCGUUUGUGUCCGAGCUGACAUCGCCCUCCUUGGACGGGAUGUUUUCUCCCUCUCACAUGAUGGGAAAAACAAAUUCCAGGCUGAAUCAGGACUCAGCCAACGUGAUCUGGAUUGGUUUCAAAGGACAAGGAAUUUGGUCACUCAGGACCUACCUCAGAACCGACUGGAAGUAAUUUUAUGCAUUUUUUUUAUUCCCUGCCACGUUACAAAGAGUGACCUCAUGGGCAGAGCACUCAUGGGUGACAGCAAAUGUCCACAGAUUUCCUAUUCAUUAUAUUUAAUUUUAAAUACAACCAGUGGGGAGGAAAAAAAUAGGCAUUGAUUGGAUUUUUCUAUGCUACAUAAUAUUUUCAUGGAUUAGAAAAUUCCAGCACCUCCUUGCUCUGCACUGAGUCAUUGGAAUGUGCUUAUCACAGGUGAAUCUAUUGGAGAAAAUCAUCUGUAUUGCCUUUUUUUUUCCUUGGAGCCUGUUCGUCCAUGAUCUCAUGGAGCUUCCCAAGAGUUGGCUGAAGUCUGGGCACUGUGUCCCUCUAAUUAGUGAUAAAAUCUCACCUGGCACCGCAUUUUACCAUCAGCACAAGUUAUCUGGGAGAUCUCAUUCAAGAGAAACCUGUGGGAAUGUUUCAAUCCUGUUAUUGACUUUUCUUCCCAAGCUUUGUAAUUAAUUCCCUCUGCCCCGGGCGGGCUGGAUUAGCGGGGACAGCUGAGCUGGGCUCUGGCACAAACGCCUGUGUCCGUCUGUGUGUCCCUGCCCCACCACUGGUGACUCUCCCUUUGCUUCCAGAGUCUGAUAAAACCAUGGAGAUGUAAAAGUAACACAUGGUGACGUUUAAAAUUAAUUAAAAACUAAGGAUGCUCCAGCCCACAGGAGCAGGGCAAGGUGGGAGGCACCCAUUUGCCUUUUAAUUCCCUGUCUUCAAACCUCACAGAUUUCUAGGAAUAAAGCAUCUCAUAUCAUUCUCCAACUUGGAACUCUACAGGGUGAAAGACAUGACAGACCCUGAAGAAUUCCUUUGAUGAGACAUCGGCUUCCAAGGCAGCGAUUUUUUAUAAGAGUUUGGGCCAACGGUGCAGCUGAGGCAUCGAUCCCUUUUCCAAGAGAAGCCCGGGAUGGGCUCGUACCCCUUGAGCUCAGCUCAAAUUCAUCACAGGCAGUGCCAGGGGGGCAGUGCCAGCUCUGUGCUGCUGCAGGAGCCAGGUGAAUGUGCCUGCAAGGGAAUGACUGAGGCAGCUGCGAGGGGUAAGUUUCAUCUCCUCAGUCCUCAAGGAGAAAACAACUUUGCUCGCCAUCCCAGUCCUCCUGGAAGCUGCUCUGCUUAAAAAUUAAAGGAUGGAAAUGGGUUUUCUUGUGAGGUUUGUUCUGUUUCACCACUCAAGCUGAAGGUGAAGAAUUGUUGGUUCAAAUAUGGUUCAAAUUUGUGGGGAUAUAGAGAGAGAAUUAUGGAACGGUUUGGG